rnacentral:lncRNA from 1 species
ACAGGGCUUCACUCUGUUGCCCAGGCUUUAGUGCAGUGGCAUAAUCAUAACUCACUGCAGCCUCUGCCACUCAAGCUCAAGUGAUCCUCCCACCUCAGCCUCCCAAGUAGCUGGGACCACAGUCCCACACCACCAUGCCCAGAGACUCCCAGCUUUGGUGUCCUUAAGAAAGGGACUUACUGACUUCAUGCAUCUUUCAAGCAAAGAUUAACAACAAUGAUAAUAGAGUAAUAAGUUGGCCUGGAAUCUUGGCAAAACUGAAAACCACAUGUUCUGAGAGUCUCUUCCUGCGCUGGUAAUUAAGUUUCUUCCCCCUACAAAAUGAGACUCUUUUGGACCAACAGGCGUUAGGCAUGUGGACAUCUUGAUGGGAUCCCAUCUUCUCUUUUGAGGAUCAAAUCCUGGCCAACUUUGUUUGAUGUUCAGAGCCCUGUAUGGGAGUCAAAGCCUGCUAAUAAAGCAGUCGUGCCUGUUUGGAGUCAUUCUACAGCUCAGGACUUCAUCCCAGGAGGGAGGUGUAGUGGGUGACUCACUAACUGUAAUAUAAACAACGACAACAAAAGGGUCUCUGAGUCACACUGACAUUGUGGAAUCAAACAUAUAUCUCUGUGCCCUGACCCCCACCAAGGAUGCAGUCACACGGAUGUCCAGUUAUCUUCUAAUCAAUGCCCAGUCCAGAUGGUCACCACCCACCUCUGCAGCAAAAGUCACUGCGCAUUUGGAUAUCUACACAGCUUGUUUGUAACUGAGUUAGUGCAGCCUAGUAAGGUACAGAUGUUUUCCUUUUAAUCCUGUUUGUACUUUGAAAUGGUCACACUCGAUGUCAUUUGGCUGCAGGAAGCUCCUCCAGGAAUGAUCCCGCAAGAGAAAUGGGAUGUGCGUGGCACCAUCUGAUUCGGGGCAGCUCUGUCACUCCCUGCAGAACUGAGCACACUGAAUUUAUUUGAAUAGAACAGGUUAUGAGGGUGAGGAUAAACAUAUCAAUACCUCAUUUUUUUUUUGAACGCCGACUCUAUGAUCGGAUUACCUGGCCCUUCAAGAGAUGGAGUUCUGCUCGUCGCCCAGGCUGGAGUGCAGGGGCGCAGUCUUGGCUCACCACAACCUCUGCCUCCUGGUUCAAGCAAUUCUCCCGCCUCAGCCUCCCGAGUAGCUGGGAUUACAGCAGCCACCCAAGACAUGCCUGCUUCCCGUUCACCUUCCACUGUGAUUGUGAGUUUCCUGAGGCCUCCCCAGCCGUACUUCCUGGACAGCCUGCAGAACCGAAGCAUUGAUGCGGCUGUCCAGCCUGUUGGAUCAGCUGCAACCCACCCUGGUCUGUGAGUUAAUGUUUCAGUGACCCAGCUUCUCAUCUUGCGUCGUUGCAAACACUCCAGGUCCCCAGCCAGCUUUCAGUAGGGCAGGGGAAAAAGAGUAUGGACUGAGGGGUCUCCCUGGGCUGGGCCGAGCAGGAGGAGGCUGAGCAGUGAAAACGGUGACCCCUGCCCUCACGGAGCUAACGAGAAGAGCAAAUGGCUGGCAACGGUGCAUGACACAGAAUGAGCAACGGGCUGCACACAUCGCGAUUUACGUGGCUUUGGAAAAAACGCGUCUCACAAGUUGGGGCUGUCAUACAUUGGCUUCUUGGUAAUCAAUGCGUUUCAGCAAUAUAUGGGGGUGAGUUUAGUUUCCAGUUGGCUUCCCUGAGGGUGUUGGAUAAAAUUGCAAUUUAGAUUCAAUCAAUACACAUUUAGUGAGCACCUAUUCUUUGCCUGAACGAUUGUGGGCAUUGUGGGGGAUACAAAGGGAGACAUCGUGGGUGGAGCUUACCAUGGAAACAACUGUCUCUUGCUCCAUGGUGUUUACCUUGCCUUGGAAAAUAAACAACGUAAACAUUUUUUUGUGACAACGGAGACAGGAUUGAGAGACUUGCACAGACUUCCUUUCCCAAAACUUCUGCAGACUAAAAUUCUACCAUUAGCUAUUAAUUUCUUUGACUAAAUUUUGUCCUCACUCUGCAGUUUCUUUUUUCUAAAGUAAAAAUACUUCUAGAAAGAGAACACGACGUCCUUAACCUCUUAAAACAGAAAUGACAUAUAAAUCGACUUGCACACCAAUUUGGGCCCUUGGAUAUUUGUUGCCUGAAGAGCUGUGUUGAAAAGGCCUCUGAGGCUCAAUCUGGCCUCUGAUGCAAAGAAUGUCGAUCGAUUGCUGAUGUCUGCCCUGAGUGCUGGAAGGGAGGAUGGCAUUUACUAUCCCUGCCUUAAAUUAGAGGAGCUUAUGGGGUUCUUCCCCAACUAUAACAAGAGGGGUUAAAUGAACACUAAUCAUCUGAUAGGACAGCCACUGAAGGAGGUGAGGGGAAUUUAAGAAGGAAAGGCUGUGACUGCCAAUCUCCUAAUGUCACCUGCAUGGCCGUCAGUCACCUGCAGCCCUUGUCAGUGCACCCAAAGCCUUUGCAGAUGUCAACCCAGCUGGCUUUCCAGCCAUGUCUCACCAUACCCCAGUGCUCCUCUGCUCCAGCCCCACUGAACUCUGCCAGACCUGGACGUGCCCUUAUACAUGUGCUUCACACUCUAUCAUCUUUGUCCUUCCUUCUUUUUUUUUUGAGUCAAGCUUUCACUCUGUCGCUCAGGCUGGAGUGUAGAUCACAGCUCGCUGCAGCCUCCAACUCAGCUAAAGCGAUCCUUCCUCCUCAGCCUCCAGAGCAGCUGGGACUACAGGUGCAUGCCACCAUGCCCAGGUAAUUUUUUUCUUUUUUGUAGAGACAGGGUCUUGCAAUGUUGCCCAGGCUGGCCUCGAACUCCUGGCCUCAAGCACCUCCCACUUCGGCCUCCCAAAGUGCUGGGAUUAUAGGCAUGAGCCACUGUGUCCAGCCCAUCCUUGUCCUUUCACAUGUGUCACCUUUCUCGUGAGACUAAGAGGUCUGUGGGAGCAGGGUUAGUGCCUGGUCUCUGUGAUCCAGUCCCCAGCCCCAGGCCUGACACACAGCUGGUGCUCAACAACCACUGGCUGAAUAUUGGAAUGAAUAAAUGAACGAACUUUGUCAGUGUGGCAGAUGCUAUGCCUAUGCUGAGACUGCUGUUUUUUCACAUGCCCCUGCUUCUCCUGUGUUCCUGCAGUAGCACACUGCCGGUGGUAAAUGAAUCCCCAAGUAUGAAUGCUUCACAGAACAAAGUUUAAUUUCCCCUCCCACAAAGUCCAGUGCAGAUUGUGCAGCCCUCCGGAACACUUGUCUUGGUAUUAACCACAUCUUUUAUUUCCUGCAUUCCAAUGCUCUGACAUCUGGGGCCUCGCUGACCCCCUAGAGUUAGCCAAUUUCUAGAGAUACAAGUUGCCAUGACAGCACUUUUCAGAUGCAAACAACCCACCCAAACCAAACAAAGCCUUCUUUUCCCUCCACCUCCUAACUGACCUUGGUGCUUCCCCGUGUGGCUCUGUGUGGCGUGGCAGGCGGUGUCCCCUCCUCCUGGGAACUGUGAGUAACAAACUACUUUUUCAAUAGCAAUCAUCUCCUGAUCUGUUGGCUUCACUAUACCUCAAAAUUUCUACUGAUACACUGUGUUUUGAAACAGGCUUCCACUGAGUGACUCAGCGAUCCAGUCUGCUUUCAUAGGUGGCUCUAAUGAGGCAGAAAUUUAAAAAUAAAUAUGCAUUCAUUCACUCCAAGAAAAGUAACAGGCAAGGGUUCACAAGAAAAAAAGAAGUUUUCCUCUGCCUAGCAAGCACACUUCAAGGACAGUUAUAAGAUAAUGCUGUACGAGCAGCCAAGGCCAAAGGAAUGGGCUUCAGACACCCCUCUCCCCCAGAGCAAUGUUGAAGGAAAAAAAAAGAGAAAAAGAUAAAUUACUUUACUGUUACUCCUUUCCCAGGCUUCUUAAACGUGAUUAUGUUUUACAAAUGUCUGUAUUUAGCCAGUUCUUGUUUUUCUUUUGACGCAGCUACAAGGCCACAAAUUAUACACUAUAUGAUUAACUGCUUUUGUUUUACUUUUGUAAGUCUGCUUAUAAAAACCCCACUCAGUCGUUGUUCAAUGCUCAGCUUUUUGGAUGCGAAUCCACUGAGCCAGUGCGUACCUAAAAUAAACAAUCCUCCCGUUCUCCG